rnacentral:misc_RNA from 1 species
GGAAGUAAAAUUCGUAACAAGGUUUCCGUAGGUGAACCUGCGGAAGGAUCAUUAAUGAGAACUAGGGGUGGUAGCCUUGGCUACUACUCUGAACACUCCACCCUUUGUUUGCAUUACCUUUGUUGCUUUAGCAGGCCCGCCUUUGGGCCGCCGGCACCUGCUGGCCAGCGCCUGCUAGAGAACCUAAAACUCUUGUUAAUAAUAUUGUCUGAGUACUAUAUAAUAGUUAAAACUUUCAACAACGGAUCUCUUGGUUCUG